AAUUUUGAGCAUGGAAUAGUCCAAUCAUUUUAUUGUUGGUCCAGCAGUUAGAUGUCUCUAUAAAUAUUUUCAAUUGUUUAACAAAAAAGUAUAAGUAUAUACAAUUGUUUUUGCCCUUUUUUUUUUUUUUUUUACUGAGAAAGGUGGCGUGUUAUUCGCUUAGUUUAUUUUUUAAAAAAAUAAAUUUAACUGAAAAUAUAAAGCUAUUAGAUUUCUAACUUGAAAUCUCGAAUACUAAUCAUUAAGUUUUUUGCCACCUGCAUUACUGACGGGCGAUAUAGAUUUGACAUUUUUCUUUGCGGAUUUGAAUGCUUAUGAAAAUCCGCCCCAAAUAGGGCAGGGAUGGAAAGAUUUUUGUCCCC
rnacentral:lncRNA from 1 species